ACUCCUACGGGAGGCAGCAGUGGGGAAUCUUGCGCAAUGGGCGAAAGCCUGACGCAGCGACGCCGCGUGAGUGAUGAAGGCCUUCGGGUUGUAAACUGCUUUUGUACGGGAAGAAAUGUUGCUACGUGUAGCAAUUUGACGGUACCGUAAGAAUAAGGAUCGGCUAACUUCGUGCCAGCAGCCGCGGUAAU
rnacentral:rRNA from 1 species